GUGGGGAAUUUUGGACAAUGGGCGCAAGCCUGAUCCAGCCAUGCCGCGUGCAGGAUGAAGGCCUUCGGGUUGUAAACUGCUUUUGUACGGAACGAAAAAGCUCUCUCUAAUACAGGGGGUGAAUGACGGUACCGUAAGAAUAAGCACCGGCUAACUACGUGCCAGCAGCCGCGGUAAUACGUAGGGUGCAAGCGUUAAUCGGAAUUACUGGGCGUAAAGCGUGCACAGGCGGUUAUGUAAGACAGAGGUGAAAUCCCCGGGCUCAACCUGGGAACUGCCUUUGUGACUGCAUAGCUGGAGUGCGGCAGAGGGGGAUGGAAUUCCGCGUGUAGCAGUGAAAUGCGUAGAUAUGCGGAGGAACACCGAUGGCGAAGGCAAUCCCCUGGGCCUGCACUGACGCUCAUGCACGAAAGCGUGGGGAGCAAACAGGAUUAGAAACCCGAGUAGUCC
rnacentral:rRNA from 1 species